GUUUCAGGGCCAGUUGGAAGGUGUUCUACCUAUAGGUGUUUCAGGGCCAGUUAGAAGGUGUUCUACCUAUAGGUGUUUCAGGGCCAGUUAGAAGGUGUUCU